AUGCUUCCAGUGCCAAGGAGGGGGAAAUUGUGCUGCUUCAAUGUAUCCUCGAUGAGCAGUUUCCUCCUACACGAGUUGUCUUCUGCAAGAAUGGGCUGGAGGAGUUCAGCCUGAAAGCCCAGCAGGGCAGGCUCAUCUACGCUCUGGUCCUGAACAUCAACUCCAGAAGUGCUGGGACGUACACGUGUGGGUACCAGCAGAGGAACAAGAAAAACUAUGUGAGGAACUCUGCUCUCAGUGCUCCCCAGACCUUGUCUGUGGCAGGUGCUGGUGAGACCACCACUGACAUCCACAGCUCCAAUGCUCCACAUGCCCGGAUCCCACACACCCUCCCCACAGGCACGGUGCUGGCAGUGGCGGCCGUCAGCCUCGUCCUCUUGUCUGCAGUCAGCUGGUUUGCCAUCAGGAAAGGUGAGGGAGAGGGGGAAGAAGGAGGGAAGGCUGAGGCUGUGGGGAUCCUGCUGCGGGACUGGUGCGCUAGGAAAGGCGGUGGGGGGAAACCUGGGUGUGUGCGGCUGGGCCAGACGGUGCCUGGGGGUGAUGGCUGUGGGCAGCUCAGCUGGGGAGGCUCCCGAGGGAGCUGGGGAGCUUCAGCCUUCAUCCCCCAGCCCCGAGAUGGGAGCCAGGGCUGGGCAGCACCUUGGCCUGUGCACCUCAGCCCCUGUUCUUCUUGCAGGUGCCUGCAGAGGGAGAUGCCCAAGGUGAGCACCAUGGGAUGGUGGCUGUGGGGUAUGGGGGAGGUAGUUGGGGGCAUAUUGAGGUCAUGGGGUGCU
rnacentral:lncRNA from 1 species